AUGCUGAAAGAAAUGAACUAAUUCCCUCACCUACCCUCUCCUCUGCUCAUCCCCUUCUCCAAGCUUCUCCCCCUCCCCUCUCUCGAUCCGAUCCAGCCUACUCUGGUCCCCCCUCAACCAGAUCGGGGCGUUACACAGCCGCAGCUCACUCUCACCCGCUCUCCAUGACUCCUUCAGCCGCUGCCGCAUCUAAUCCUCGCCCUCGCAUGCUUUACCCAAAACAUGGCAAGAAAAGGGCCAAGUUGGAUGUAAGAAGGAGUUCACGGGCAAGAUGCAACCAGAAGUGAAUAGGGAGUCCGACGGCUUAUCUUUAUCUCCUCCCGUGCUUCUCCUUGAUGGUUUGCCUUCUCCCAUGACGGCGCCCAACGGAAUUGGCCGGUCAGCAUCGGCGACAGAGUCAAGCCGUCUUCCUCGCUGGCUCUGUCUUCCCCAUCUUUCUCGGUGUUGACCACUCAGGUAACUCCAGUGAAGAGGAGAUGGAGAAUCGAACGGGAGAAGGAGGGCCACGGUGGUGGUCGAGAGCAAGAGAGGAGUAGAGAUGUGAAUGUCUCGCACCAGCCGGAGACCCUCUCCCGUCCGCUGUCGCACCUCCCUCUCCUCUUUCCUCUCGCUUUCUCCCUCCUCUCUUGCUUUCUCUCUCCUGCAGGGACCGGUCCAUGGCGAAUCGAGCGUCCCCGCCAUCGCCUUUUGCCGGAGAUGCUCGUCGCCGCUGCCAAAGAUGCCUGCCGCCACGCCCGCACGCCUCGGAUCCGGCCAGAUCCCCUACUCUUCCACCCCAACAAGAAGACCCGACGGCGGCUGAUGAGGGAGGAGGGAGUGGUGCUGCGCUGCACUGUGGGGGUCGAGGGGAAAGAGAGCUAGGUUUGUGUUGUGGGGGCCGAAGCAUGCCAGCAAAAGAGCGAGGCACAUGAGGCGAGUGGGGAAAGGGCGGUUUCACCCAGUAAAGUUUCACCUAGCCAAUCGAAAGGGACCCCGAGCCCAUCAGUCAUGGACCUUAAAAAUCAUCCACAAGAUGAAACCAGCGAUUUUCAUUGGAGAGUGACGAAUAGUUCUAUUAAGUAAAUUUCUGAGAGCGAUAUACUCUUCAUCAACUAUUACCAGGCAAGUUCACGUUUGACCAUUCUUUCAGUUACCUAUGUUUAAUAUAUGCACUUAGUCCUUUGCGGUAGGAUUGCAUGGUAGGAACUUUAUGCCGGAUGGCUCGGCUUUUACCUAGUAGUUCAUUUGAGGUAGGUCUAAACUAUACAAACUUGUCACCACCGUGUGGGUUUAUUUUUUGCCUUGCUAAUGUAGACGUGGAUUGGUAAGUGUUCAUGGCGAGACUUGAGUGUCAAAGUAGUAAUCGGUACCAAGACUUUAAAUGAUCUACCUGGGAAGAAAUUGGUUGGAAUGGUGGUGAAGUACAGUGGGGCAUGCAUGGGAAAUCCAUGGUGGUGCACCACUAGUGAUCUGUCUGCUCGGGAUCAAAGGGAUCAAAUGUAUUUUCAUGUCUAGAAGCUAACAUGUGCAGCCACAAGCCAAUAUGGGCUCUGGCUUAGUUGAGUAGAAGGGUGACCUCUUCCGAGAUGGGCUAGCAGAUGUAGAACGAGUAGGUGUACAGGCCUAUCUGUGGGUUAAGGGGGAUACUUUCGAAAAACUAUGUCUCGAUCUUCCGAUCAUGGAGGUGAUCGAGUCUUGUGGGGAAAAGUGUGCAACCUCCACAGAGUGUUAGAACCUAAUCGAUUAGCCGUGUCCCUCAUACGUCUCCAACGUAUCUAUAAUUUUUGAUUGUUCCAUGCUACUAUAUUACCCCUUUUGGAUGUUUAUGGGCUUUAUUUUAGACAUUUAUAUCAUUUUUGGGACUAGCCUACUAACCGGAGGCCCAGCCCGUAUUGCUGUUUUUUUUUGCCUAUUUCAGUAUUUCAAAGAAAAGGAAUAUCAAACGGAGUCCAAAUGGAAUGAAACCUUCGGGAGCGUGAUUUUUGGAACGAACAUGAUACAGAGGACUUGGAGUGCAAGUCAAGAAGCAAUCGAGGCGGCCAGGAGAUAGGAGGGCGCGCCCCUGUCUCCUGGGCCCCUCGAGCGUCCACCGACCUACUUCUUCCUCCUAUAUAUACCCACAUACCCUAAAAACAUCCAGGGAGCCAACGAAAAACAAUUUCCACCGCCGUAACCUUAUGUAUCCGCGAGAUCCCAUCUUGGAGCCUUCGUCGGUGCUCCGCCGGAGGGGGAAUCGACCACGAAGGGCUUCUACAUCAACACCAUAGCCCCUCUGAUGAGUUGUGAGUAGUUUACCACAGACCUUCGGGUCCAUAGUUAUUAGCUAGAUGGCUUCUUCUCUCUUUUUGGAUCUCAAUAUCAUGUUCUCCCCCUCUCUUGUGGAGAUCUAUUCAAUGUAAACUCUUUUUGCGGUGUGUUUGUCGAGAUCCGAUGAAUUGUGGGUUUAUGAUCAA